GAUGAACGCUGGCGGCGUGCCUAAUACAUGCAAGUCGAGCGAACAGACGAGGAUCUUGCUCCUCUGACGUUAGCGGCGGACGGGUGAGUAACACGUGUAUAACCUACCUAUAAGACUGGGAUAACUUCGGGAAACCGGAUCUAAUACCGGAUAAUAUAUUGAACCGCAUGGUUCAAUAGUGAAAGACGGUUUUGCUGUCACUUAUAGAUGUAUCCGCGCCGCAUUAGCUAGUUGGUAAGGUAACGGCUUACCAAGGCUACGAUGCGUAGCCGAUCUGAGAGGGUGAUCGGCCACACUGGAACUGAGACACGGUCCAGACUCCUACGGGAGGCAGCAGUAGGGAAUCUUCCGCAAUGGGCGAAAGCCUGACGGAGCAACGCCGCGUGUGUGAUGAAGGUCUUCGGAUCGUAAAACUCUGUUAUUAGGGAAGAACAAAUGUGUAAGUAACUAUGCACGUCUUGACGGUACCUACUCAGAAAGCACCGGCUAACUACGUG
rnacentral:rRNA from 1 species